CCUACGGGAGGCAGCAGUGGGGAAUAUUGCACAAUGGGGGAAACCCUGAUGCAGCGACGCCGCGUGAGUGAAGAAGUAAUUCGUUAUGUAAAGCUCUAUCAGCAGGGAAGAAAAUGACGGUACCUGAGUAAGAAGCCCCAGCUAACUACGUGUCAGCAGCCGCGGUAGUACGUCGGGGGCAAGCGUUAUCCGGAUUUACUGUGAGUACAGGGAGCGGAGACGGCAGUGCAAGUCUGGAGUGAAAGGCGGGGGCUCAACCCCCGGACGGGUCUGGAAACUGUACGGCUAGAGUGCAGGAGAGGUAAGUGGAAUUCCUAGUGUAGCGGUGAAAUGCGUAGAUAUUAGGAGGAACACCAGUGGCGAAGGCGGCUUACUGGACUGUAACUGACGUUGAGGCUCGAAAGCGUGGGGAGCAAACAGGAUUAGAUACCCGAGUAGUC
rnacentral:rRNA from 1 species